UUUAAUCUCUUGCCAUUCUGAGAUCAACUUCUGCAAAUGCAAGAAUAAAAUAAAUGAAUCGCCUGAAAAUGGAGCCAGCAUGCAAAGGCCUUCUGAAUGUCUUCACCAGGAAAAUGUUGCCUACCUUGGAUGGAACCAUUUGAAGUGCUAAAAGAGGACAAGAAAUUUUUCCAGGUAUAUACAAAUUGGAACACAUGCUGUCUAUAUUAAACUUGUUUUUCUGAAUAAAGACGUACUAUCCACCCAUGAAGUAAUUAACUUUCGAGAUUCCACAUAUGUCCAAAAUUGACGGCAUUCUUGCUGAAUGUGAUGGAAUACUCACUAAAAUGACCCAUUUUGGCAACGCAUGUAUAUAGAAGCAAACCAUUACUACUUGAAACUAUCUAUCAAAACAGAAGCAGAAUUUACAAUUAUUUAUCAACGUAAUAAGACUUGGUUAGUGUUACUGAUAUCCUUCAGAAUAAUUGAGGUUGGAUUAGAUUUUGAUGCAUAGUAACCUUUUGUUCAAUAAAGGGUCCCCAUUUACACUAAAAGUGAGAUUGCUGUCUCCGUUACCACACUUAUUAUGAACCGACAUCUAUUGCGAUGUAUGUUGUGAAAUGCUCACUGCAGAUGACAUUGAAAUGUUGGAAAAUCAAGUAUCCUUUCGUUUCUUAUUUAUAAUAUUGAAAUCACAAAAAUGACAUUCUCUAACCAUUUUAUUUGAUUUUCCAGAAAACAUUGAACUGCAAGGAGGCAAACCAUAAUUACUCGUCAACAUCUAUUAAAACGGAUGCAUAAUUUCUAGCUAUUUCUGAAAAUAGAAAAGCAGAGGAACUGAAGCGCGUGCCAUCCCGAGAUCAUCUUUCGUGAGUAGAGGGACCGAACAAAUCAAUCGCCAGAGCAUGGAAUCAACAUGCGACAGCCUUUUGCAUGUCUCCUCGUCACAAGUAAAAUGUUGCCAGGCCAGAAACCUUUUUAAUGUGCAGAAAUAGAACAAGAAAUAUUUCCAGCGACUACUUCAGUUUCUGACAAAUUCUCUACCAGCAAUCUGGGUGAUCGAGAAAUUUAUUUUCUCGGAAUGGUAUCGUAGAGAUAACGAAAGCAAGUUUUCUGAAGCCAUGCGGAGGCAAACUACAUAUAAUUUAUGUGGAAGCUUCUAUUAAGACAGAAGCGGGCUUUCCAGCUAUUUCUCAACAGAAGAAAGUUACCUGAAUGAUUCUGAAGCGAUAUCGGCAUGUUGCAAGAAUUUCGGUUUAUCACUUAUCACCAGAAGAUACUGCUUUCUUGGCUCCACACAUGCUCUGAUCUGACAUCAACUAAGCUGGAUGCUAUGAAAUACUCACUACUGAUGACAAGGCAAAUUUCCAGUAAGCUGCAAGGAGACAAACCACAAGGAGACAAACCACAAUCAUCUGUAAAUAUCCAGCAAAACAGAAGCAGCAUAUCCAGUUAUUUCUCAAUAUGGGAAUCGUCGAAUUUGAAACGCUUGCCAUUCCGAGAUCAACUUCUGCAACUAUAGUGUCUGUAGAAAUCGGUCUAUUGAGAAUGAAUCUACCAUGUGACAGCCUUCUGCAAGUCCUCCUCACCACUAAAAUGUUGCUCUGCUAUAAGCCGCUUCACGUACAGUGACAGAACGUGAAAUGUUGGGUGUCUGUUAAGAAUACGCCUUCGUCGAUGUGAUCCUGGAAUAAGACAAUACCUGGACCCUUCAUCAAGCGCAUAUUGGAGUGCGGAUGCUGCACAGUUCAAUUACGGACGAAGACUAUAUUUGAAUUUUUAUAUUAUCAAUAUGUUCAGAAGCAAAUUUCAAACGGAACUAAUUGACUCAAUGGAAGAAACGGAUAUUAUAAAAACAGCGGUAUAACAAAUUUGUAACAAAACCUAGAUUUAAUUUUCGCAAAUAAUAAUAUAAAUUGCAUUUGAGAACAUAUUUGUUAUUACUAAAUUUGAUAAGAAUUGUUUGACAUGACAGAUUGCCACUAUACAACUUUAAAAAUCUUGGAUUUUCAUUACUGUAAUCUUUCUAUUAUAUCGGCAGAAUUUCUUUCCAUUUACAAACCAAUUUUAUAAAGAAAACUGAACCACUUCGUUGUAACUGAAGCCAUUUCUUGACCUUGUUUAUUUCUAAAUCUUCAUUUUGUG